rnacentral:rRNA from 1 species
UACGGGGGAUGCAAGCGUUAUCCGGAAUUAUUGGGCGUAAAGCGUCCGCAGGUGGCAAGACAAGUCUUAUGUUAAAGCGCGGAGCUUAACUCCGUACCGGCAUAGGAAACUGUCUAGCUAGAGUGUGGUAGGGGUCACGGGAAUUCCCGGUGUAGCGGUGAAAUGCGUAGAUAUCGGGAAGAACACCAGCGGCGAAAGCGCUCUACUGGGCCGCAACUGACACUGAGGGACGAAAGCUAGGGGAGCGAAUGGG